UUUGCAAAUAUCUAAUUCAUUAUCAACAACUGUGUAUUAAGUAUUCUUCUGGCUGCUGAAAAUAUAUCACUCCACAAAACAAAAUAUUUACCUUCAGCAGAUUACAUUCUGGUGGGGGAGAUGCAGAUAACAAACAUAUAACUAAAUGUAUAAUAUCUUAGUUUCUCUGAGUAAUAUUUUUUCUCAUGCAAGGGAAACAAAAAAAAAAAGGAAUUAUAUCAAACUAAAAGGUUUUUGUUUGGCAAAGGAACCCAUCAACAAAAUGAAGAGACAAACCACUGAAUAGGAAAAGCUACUCACCACUGAUACAGCUGAUAAGAGGUCCAAGAUCAAGAUGUUAGCAGGUUUUGUUCCUUCCGAGGCCUUUCUUCUUGGCAUUCAGAUGAUGGAGCACACGAUUGUUCU